GACGAACCGUGCGAACGUUGGUCGGAAUCACUGGGCUUAAAGGGCGCGUAGGCGGGUUCCCAAGUCCGGGGUGAAAUCUUUCGGCUCAACCGGAAAAUAGCCUUGGAUACUGGGAGUCUCGAGGGAGGUAGGGGCAGCGGGAACUUCCGGUGGAGCGGUGAAAUGCGUUGAUAUCGGAAGGAACGCCGGUGGCGAAAGCGCGCUGCUGGACCUCUGCUGACGCUGAGGCGCGAAAGCCAGGGGAGCAAACGGG
rnacentral:rRNA from 1 species